AUUGAACGCUAGCGGGAUGCCUUACACAUGCAAGUCGAACGGCAGCGCGGACUUCGGUCUGGCGGCGAGUGGCGAACGGGUGAGUAAUGUAUCGGAACGUGCCCAGUAGCGGGGGAUAACUACUCGAAAGAGUAGCUAAUACCGCAUACGCCCUACGGGGGAGAGGGGGGGAUCGCAGGACCUCUCACUAUUGGAGCGGCCGAUAUCGGAUUAGCUAGUUGGUGAGGUAAAGGCUCACCAAGGCGACGAUCCGUAGCUGGUUUGAGAGGACGACCAGCCACACUGGGACGGAGACACGGCCCAGACUCCUACGGGAGGCAGCAGUGGGGAAUUUUGGACAAUGGGGGAAACCCUGAUCCAGCCAUUCCGCGUGUGCGAUGAAGGCCUUCGGGUUGUAAAGCACUUUUGGCAGGAAAGAAAUCGCAUGGAUUAAUACUCUGUGUGGAUGACGGUACCUGCAGAAUAAGCACCGGCUAACUACGUGCCAGCCGCCGCGGUAA
rnacentral:rRNA from 1 species